rnacentral:rRNA from 1 species
UACGAAGGGGGCUAGCGUUGCUCGGAAUCACUGGGCGUAAAGGGUGCGUAGGCGGGGCUUUAAGUCAGGGGUGAAAUCCUGGAGCUCAACCCCAGAACUGCCUUUGAUACUGAAGAUCUUGAGUUCGGGAGAGGUGAGUGGAACUGCGAGUGUAGAGGUGAAAUUCGUAGAUAUUCGCAAGAACACCAGUGGCGAAGGCGGCUCACUGGCCCGAUACUGACGCUGAGGCACGAAAGCGUGGGGAGCAAACAGG